rnacentral:lncRNA from 1 species
UCCGUUGCUGCCAUAUAUUCUGCUUCAGUCGUAGACAAAGCGACAAUCGACUGCAGAGUCGACUUCCAACUAACGACACUGCCAACGGGGGUAAAGAUGGACCUUCUCCUGUCAAGAUCUCCUGCAUAGUCAGAAUCUACAUAAUCAAGAAUUGAAAUACCUCCACUACUUUUUCGAAAAGUUAGACCAACACCAGAAGCUCCCUUGAGAAAUCUCAAUAUCCACUUGACAGCUUCCCAAUACCUCUUUUCUGACCAACACCAGAAGCUCCCUUGAGAUAUCUCAAUAUCCACUUGAUAGCUUCCCAAUGCCUCUUUCUGGGCUGGACAUGUAUCUACUUACCUCACUUACAGAUUGAACAAUAUUUGGACGUGUGCAUACCAUAGCAUACAUAACGCUACCAACUGCACUGGCAUAAGAAAUCUUUGACAUAUGCUCCACCUCAUCCUCGGACUGAGGCAUUUGUAACUCUGAAAGUUUAAAAUGAGAAUGUAAUGGUGUACUUACAGGCUUGCAAGUCUGUAUAUUGCAUCUCUUGAGAACCCUUCCAAUAUACCUCUUCUGAGAAAGAUGUACAACAUCGGAGCUAAUGCUGUACUUACAGGCUUGCACGUAUGCAUAUUGCAUCUCUCGAAAAUCCUUUCAAUAUACCUCGACUGAGAAAGAUGUACAACACCGUCUUCUCUUAAAAUCUUCGUACCAAGGAUUUUCUUUGCAGCUCCUAAAUCCUUCAUGUCAAAUUCCUUACUCAACAAUUUCUUCAAAGCAUUUAUCUAUGUAAUGUUUUUUUUUUUCUGAUGAGGUAAGGAGAAUUCAUUAAAAGCAUUCAGAUGUAGGCAAAAGAUUACAAAUAAGAGAGAUGGUGUCUGCUCAUAUCCACAAAAAAACUAUUCUAUCACUAAGGGGCAGACACAAUCGAAAAAUUGAAUAGACCUAGUUACAGGUGCCUGAUUUAGCCAACUAAACAAAUUUAAUAAGCAUUUUGAUUAGACUACAUGGGUCGGAGUUGAGAUGCCAUCAAAACAUCUACAAUUCCUUUCCUUUUAGAUGCACCAAUAGACGGCAGCAUGUACCAUUGCCCAAUUUUUUGAUGGAUUUACCUACUCUCCAUGAACACCAACAUUCAUAUGUUUCCUUGAUGCUGUUAGGCUUGACCCAGGCUAGUCCAAAAAUAUAGAGGAACAUGUCCAAAUAUCACAUGCAAAAAGAGAUGUCUAACACUUUCAGAAUCCAAAUUGCACAUGUACCAGCUAUUCGCCAUUGGUAUACUCCUUCUGCUGAGGUUUUCUUGAGUGAGGCAUGCUUCAUUUAAGGCAACCCAACUAAAACAAAUCACUUUUGGAGGCAGUUUUGUUCUCCAAAUUAGUUUCUAUGGCCAAUUGUUUAUCAGAUCAUUGUUGGAGCAUAGGUGUGCAUAUGCUUUCUUCACUGUAAAUUUCCCGUCCCCCAUUCCAGUUUAUCCUUCAGCUGGGGUUUGACAGCAAUCUAUGCUAGUUUGGCCAGCAGUUCCAUUAGGUCAUUUAUCUCCCAAUCUUGAGAAUGUCCCUGAAUUGAGGGUCCCAAGAGUUGUUCU